UCGAGAAUCUUCCGCAAUGGGCGAAAGCCUGACGGAGCGACACCGCGUGCAGGAUGAAGGCUCUCGGGUUGUAAACUGCUGUCACGCUAUAGGAAAGAUCGUAUGGAAACAUGCGAAUUGACCAAAGCGAAAGGAAGCACCGGCUAACUCCGUGCCAGCAGCCGCGGUAAUACGGAGGGUGCAAACGUUGUUCGGAAUCACUGGGCAUAAAGCGCACGUAGGCGGUCCAGUCAGUCAGGUGUGAAAGCCCCCGGCUCAACCGGGGAACUGCACUUGAUACUGCUGGACUCGAGAGUGGAAGGGGUGAGCGGAACUCCAGGUGGAGCGGUGAAAUGCGUAGAUAUCUGGAGGAACACCGGUGGCGAAAGCGGCUCACUGGCCCACUUCUGACGCUGAGGUGCGAAAGCUAGGGUAGCGAACGGGAUUAGAUACCCCCGUAGUCC
rnacentral:rRNA from 1 species